rnacentral:rRNA from 1 species
GAUGAACGCUGGCGGCAUGCUUUACACAUGCAAGUCGAACGGUAACAGGCCGCAAGGUGCUGACGAGUGGCGAACGGGUGAGUAAUGCAUCGGAACGUGCCCAGUCGUGGGGGAUAGCGCAGCGAAAGCUGCGCUAAUACCGCAUACGAUCUAUGGAUGAAAGCGGGGGACCGUAAGGCCUCGCGCGAUUGGAGCGGCCGAUGUCAGAUUAGGUAGUUGGUGGGGUAAAGGCUCACCAAGCCAACGAUCUGUAGCUGGUCUGAGAGGACGACCAGCCACACUGGGACUGAGACACGGCCCAGACUCCUACGGGAGGCAGCAGUGGGGAAUUUUGGACAAUGGGGGCAACCCUGAUCCAGCAAUGCCGCGUGCAGGAAGAAGGCCUUCGGGUUGUAAACUGCUUUUGUACGGAACGAAACGGCUCUGGUUAAUACCUGGGGCUAAUGACGGUACCGUAAGAAUAAGCACCGGCUAACUACGUGCCAGCCGCCGCAGUAA